GAUAAACGCUGGCGGCGUGCCUAAUACAUGCAAGUCGAGCGAACGGACGAGAAGCUUGCUUCUCUGAUGUUAGCGGCGGACGGGUGAGUAACACGUGGAUAACCUACCUAUAAGACUGGGAUAACUUCGGGAAACCGGAGCUAAUACCGGAUAAUAUUUUGAACCGCAUGGUUCAAAAGUGAAAGACGGUCUUGCUGUCACUUAUAGAUGGAUCCGCGCUGCAUUAGCUAGUUGGUAAGGUAACGGCUUACCAAGGCAACGAUGCAUAGCCGACCUGAGAGGGUGAUCGGCCACACUGGAACUGAGACACGGUCCAGGCUCCUACGGGAGGCAGCAGUAGGGAAUCUUCCGCAAUGGGCGAAAGCCUGACGGAGCAACGCCGCGUGAGUGAUGAAGGUCUUCGGAUCGUAAAACUCUGUUAUUAGGGAAGAACAUAUGUGUAAGUAACUGUGCACAUCUUGACGGUACCUAAUCAGAAAGCCACGGCUAACUACGUGCCAGCAGCCGCGGUAAUACGUAGGUGGCAAGCGUUAUCCGGAAUUAUUGGGCGUAAAGCGCGCGCAGGCGGUUUUUUAAGUCUGAUGUGAAAGCCCACGGCUCAUCCGUGGAGGGUCAUUGGAAACUGGAAAACUUGAGUGCAGAAGAGGAAAGUGGAAUUCCAUGUGUAGCGGUGAAAUGCGCAGAGAUAUGGAGGAACACCAGUGGCGAAGGCGACUUUCUGGUCUGUAACUGACGCUGAUGUGCGAAAGCGUGGGGAUCAAACAGGAUUAGAUACCCUGGUAGUCCACGCCGUAAACGAUGAGUGCUAAGUGUUAGGGGGUUUCCGCCCCUUAGUGCUGCAGCUAACGCAUUAAGCACUCCGCCUGGGGAGUACGACCGCAAGGUUGAAACUCAAAGGAAUUGACGGGGACCCGCACAAGCGGUGGAGCAUGUGGUUUAAUUCGAAGCAACGCGAAGAACCUUACCAAAUCUUGACAUCCUUUGACAACUCUAGAGAUAGAGCCUUCCCCUUCGGGGGACAAAGUGACAGGUGGUGCAUGGUUGUCGUCAGCUCGUGUCGUGAGAUGUUGGGUUAAGUCCCGCAACGAGCGCAACCCUUAAGCUUAGUUGCCAUCAUUAAGUUGGGCACUCUAAGUUGACUGCCGGUGACAAACCGGAGGAAGGUGGGGAUGACGUCAAAUCAUCAUGCCCCUUAUGAUUUGGGCUACACACGUGCUACAAUGGACAAUACAAAGGGCAGCGAAACCGCGAGGUCAAGCAAAUCCCAUAAAGUUGUUCUCAGUUCGGAUUGUAGUCUGCAACUCGACUACAUGAAGCUGGAAUCGCUAGUAAUCGUAGAUCAGCAUGCUACGGUGAAUACGUUCCCGGGUCU
rnacentral:rRNA from 1 species